UACGGAGGGUGCGAGCGUUAAUCGGAAUUAUUGGGCGUAAAGGGUGCGUAGGCGGUGAUAUAAGUUAGCUGUGAAAUACCUGAGCUUAACUUGGGGGUGUCAGCUAAGACUGUAUGACUGGAGUAUAGGAGAGGGUAGUGGAAUUUCCGGUGUAGCGGUGAAAUGCGUAGAGAUCGGAAGGAACACCGGUGGCGAAGGCGGCUACCUGGCCUAAUACUGACGCUGAGGCACGAAAGCGUGGGGAGCAAACAGG
rnacentral:rRNA from 1 species